GCCUAUUCUCAUUUCUAGAUCGACAUAUAUAUCCUUGUAUGUAGGGUUUCCUAAUCGUUCCCCUUUCAUUUUCAUUUCCCCUUUUUCCGCUCCUCUGUCUCUAUCUUCACUCUUCAUUGUCUCCAUCUUCUCUUGCUUUGGAUAAUCAAUGUGAUGUUAUUGGCCUCCUUGACUGCUGUUUCAACAAACAAGAUUGGUUUGUGACAGAGUGCAUGGAGCUCUGCCCUUCCACCUUUCGUUGAUGAUGACACAGACUCCUCCAGGUUAAAUUGUUCCAUCUUGCCUCCAGAUCCUCCCUUUCGAGACCUUUUUGCUGGCUACUGUAGUAUCUAGCUAACAUUUCACUUUUUGCUGCCUUUAAGGCUUUUGUAAAUAUUAUGUUUCGUGAAAAAUUCAUGUUGUAGCCUUGGUUGCCCCUAUCCCUUUAGCGGUGAUACUCUUAAAUAUGAACAUAGUAGCUAGUCAUUGUUAACUAUCUUUCUCCCUUCUAUCUCCAUGCUAUUAAAGUCUGUAAAAGAGAAAUUUCCUUUAUCUAUUGCUCUGUUUGCACAGUGAUCACUGCUAA